rnacentral:lncRNA from 1 species
GCUGUUAUGAUGACUCAAGUAUCUGCAGAGCAGUAGGCACAGAAAUGGACAUCAGCACAGCAAUAUGGCACAGUUAUGGGGUACAGCAAUGUGCAUCUGCAUAACAAUGGGAACAUCAAUAGGGAACCGCAAUGGGCAUCCUUAGAACUGUGUUUUUCCAUAACUCUGACAUGAAAUUAAGAUAAAUUAAGACACAGACCAGAAACAACUUUGCUGCCCUGGAUCCAGAGGUUCCAGCGCCUUCGUCCUUGGUAGCUUCCCAAUCAAGAUCGGAACCGGAGUUACCAGCGUCUUCAUCCUCGGCUCUGUCUCUCUCUCCGGUGGCUUCUACCUCGGGUUCAGAUCCUCGGAGCUCCCAGACCAUGAGUCUGCCUGAGAGACAGGCCAAUUCAACAUCACCAGCUGUCAUCAUAGGCAGCUCUACGAGGUAAUGCUCAGCAGGUCUCCUGCACUCUGAGGAGGAGAAGAACUAGGAGGAUAAAGAGGAGGAGUGAAAGGCAUUGAUCAUUGGGAGGUUGCAGACUCCAGCCAGCAGCUACCCUUUUCCCAGCCGGCAAGCCCCCGCCCC